AACGCGAAGAACCUUACCAGCUCUUGACAUGUCCCGUAUGGGUUUCAGAGAUGAGACCCUUCAGUUCGGCUGGCGGGAACACAGGUGCUGCAUGGCUGUCGUCAGCUCGUGUCGUGAGAUGUUGGGUUAAGUCCCGCAACGAGCGCAACCCUCGGCCUUAGUUGCCAUCAUUCAGUUGGGCACUCUAAGGCGACUGCCGGUGAUAAGCCGGAGGAAGGUGGGGAUGACGUCAAGUCCUCAUGGCCCUUACGGGCUGGGCUACACACGUGCUACAAUGGCGGUGACAGAGGGAUGCGAGGGCGCGAGCCUUGGCAAAUCUCAAAAACUGGGCCCAGUUCGGAUUGGAGGCUGCAACUCGCCUCCAUGAAGCCGGAAUCGCUAGUAAUGGCGCAUCAGCUACGGCGCCGUGAAUACUUUCCCGGGUCUUGUACACACCG
rnacentral:rRNA from 1 species